CGGACGGGUGAGUAAUGUCUGGGAAACUGCCCGAUGGAGGGGGAUAACUACUGGAAACGGUAGCUAAUACCGCAUAACGUCUACGGACCAAAGUGGGGGACCUUCGGGCCUCACACCAUCGGAUGUGCCCAGAUGGGAUUAGCUAGUAGGUGGGGUAAUGGCUCACCUAGGCGACGAUCCCUAGCUGGUCUGAGAGGAUGACCAGCCACACUGGAACUGAGACACGGUCCAGACUCCUACGGGAGGCAGCAGUGGGGAAUAUUGCACAAUGGGCGCAAGCCUGAUGCAGCCAUGCCGCGUGUAUGAAGAAGGCCUUCGGGUUGUAAAGUACUUUCAGUGGGGAGGAAGGC
rnacentral:rRNA from 1 species